ensembl:lncRNA
GGGCUCUGGGUGGCGUGCUACAGCAUGCCAUGUUGUUACUGACUGAAGCUGUGUCCAUUGUGGUCAUCUUAUCUGUCUGUCCAGUCAAGGCAAAUGUUGUGUAUCAUCUGUUAAGGCCUGGAGGAAUAAGGGUCAGGAACGCCGACUUAAAUCAGGCUUGCUGUGUCAUAACAGCUCGAGGACAGGGGGAUGCUUAACCACUACUCUCACACAUUGUCCUGCCUGCAGGACAAAAAAAAACAAGAUCACCUCAUGCCACAGCUGCUUCUCGCUUCCCAGUUCCAUGAGCUCUGUGAGCUCUGUGGGCUCUGGGGAAAGGUGAAAGCCUCAAACUCCCCAAAAGGAAAGCUAACUUCAUAACCUUUCCUUUUCUGAUCUCAGGAUCAGAAUAUCUCUGUUCCUCCAGGAAAGUUUCUCUGUGACUUACCGUGUUCAAGCUCUGACUUCACGUGGUGCAAUUAUGGUAUUAAAAAGAGGGAUCUUCUGUCAGAUACUGCCAUUUAGGUUAAACCCAAUCACUUCAAUGGAGUCGAUGAGGCUGCGGUUUUAUCAGUGCAGCAACUGCAAGAUGUGGCCCUCCGUGCAGAUUGUUUACAGUCGUUAUCUCUGGUUUGUCUCUAGUUUCAGCUGCUUAUGCUCACUGUGUGAAUUUAUUAGUCACUUGUAAUUUCUUCAUUGAUUUUUGUUAAACUGUUUCCUGGCUCAUGAUCUUGGCAACCUAUUUCUGUUGUUUAAACAAGCUUGCUUGUCAAGCAGGUUUUCCCAAUGUCACAGUUCUAGUAUUAACUCUCUUUAUUGAGUAAUGCUGCUUCUUAUCCAGGAUGAGAUCAGACUUCAUAACAAGUGGAUCAAAGCCAUGAAGUUUAGAUCCAAAAUCAGAGCUGAAUCCAAGCUCUCCUGAAAUCCGAGGAUGCUUGAAUGGAGUUCUGGUUUGACUCUGCCAUGGGGAAAGGUUCAAGCAGUGAAGUUCAGAGCUGGAUUCAUAUUCUCAUUAUUGAAGCAGUUUUAAUCCAGGGUUUUGAUGUUGGGUCCAUCUUUGAUAACUAAUGGCCAAACAUGAUGAGCUCCUAAACUGCCCAACAAAGAGGGUUAACACCUGUUGAGAUGUGGCACAAGAUUUCCCCAGAAAUGCUCUUUUGUAUUUAAAGAACGUAACUAGUGCUGGCAGCUGGAGAAACCUGGUCAGUUAAUAGAUGGAAACCUAAGAAGUAGCAAAGGGUCAAAUUUUUUAUCAGAGCACUUUGAUUCAUAUUAAAUGCUACACAUUUCUGAACACUCUACUCAAAUUUCCACUCAAAUACCAAAGGGCUGUUAUAGCUGUAUCCAUAACAAAGGCAGAAUGACUGAAACCUCAUGUGAGAAAUGCUGUUCUUAAGAUUUCCAGUUGAGUUUUGCAAAUGAAGUAAUGCUGAUUUGUUCAGAUAUGGCCCAACUGUUCAUUUUAAUUUUGUGGGGUGUACACCCAGACAUCUGAACCGUGGUAAAGGUUUGACCCGUCACCCCACCGACACCUAGACCAAGACAUUAUGGUGUGCAGUGAUGCAGAUCAUAUUGCAUUUCCCAGAAGCUUUUAACUCUACAGUGAGAUGAAGACACAUCUUGAUGCAUGAGUUUCAAAUCCAAAACCUAAUAUAUAUCAUCUCUAUCGCAGUAUUUCAAAAGAAACUCCUCAGAAUGAAAUUUAGUAUAUUGCACCUUAUAUUUUAGUCACAGGUGAGGAAUUGUACAAUUAUGAGUCAUUAGUUUAUUUGUUUUUCUUUUUAAUAACAGGAAUGACUGUUUUUCUGUGUAAGCACACUUUUGCACUGACAAAUAUUUAAUAAGUUUCAGCCAAAAAGAAACACAGAUGUAAUAACUGUGUAACUAGGAUCAUUCUGGAAAGAGCCGUGAGUUGUGUAAUUGUGGCUUGGUAGCUUAUAUAAUCUAGGAAGACUGAUAUAAACUUUUGAAACUGUGAAGUCUGUGUCAUGCCAGAGCUUAAACGAACUCUCUGUUCCUGUUCACUGAGCUCAAUUGACAGUGAAAAAAGGAAGCCUCAGAAGGCUCUUCAUGAAGUAUUUUUUAAAUAUGUGUCUAAUAUGAAGAUUUUUGAAUUAUAAUCUUGUUGCAAGCUAGUCACCUCCCUUUUUCCAUCUUCAAAUUACUUUAAAAAGAACUGUACACGUCAUUCCUUCCCUAGUACAGAAUUGCUAUAGGGUCUUACGAUCUUGUGUGGGCCCAGAUUAUGGAAACCUCAUGAAGACAUCACCUCCUCUUUGUAAUUGCUCCUUAUUAUGAAGAAUUUCAUACCGAAAAACUUUGGCAACGCUAUCAUAAAGUACAAGGAUUUUUUGAUAAAUAAAUGCGGAUUUCUGAUGAUGCA